AGUGAACGCUGGCGGUAGGCCUAGCACAUGCAAGUCGAACGGCAGCACAGUAAGAGCUUGCUCUUACGGGUGGCGAGUGGCGGACGGGUGAGGAAUACAUCGGAAUCUACUUUUUCGUGGGGGAUAACGUAGGGAAACUUACGCUAAUACCGCAUACGACCUACGGGUGAAAGCAGGGGAUCUUCGGACCUUGCGCGAUUGAAUGAGCCGAUGUCGCAUUAGCUAGUUGGCGGGGUAAAGGCCCACCAAGGCGACGAUCCGUAGCUGGUCUGAGAGGAUGAUCAGCCACACUGGAACUGAGACACGGUCCAGACUCCUACGGGAGGCAGCAGUGGGGAAUAUUGGACAAUGGGCGCAAGCCUGAUCCAGCCAUACCGCGUGGGUGAAGAAGGCCUUCGGGUUGUAAAGCCCUUUUGUUGGGAAAGAAAAGCAGCAGGUUAAUACCCCGCUGUUCUGACGGUACCCAAAGAAUAAGCACCGGCUAACUUCGUG
rnacentral:rRNA from 1 species